UACGUAGGGUGCAAGCGUUAAUCGGAAUUACUGGGCGUAAAGCGUGCGUAGGCGGCUAUGUAAGACAGAUGUGAAAUCCCUGGGCUUAACCUGGGAACUGCAUUUGUGACUGCAUUGCUAGAGUGUGGUAGAGGGAGAUGGAAUUCCGCAUGUAGCAGUGAAAUGCGUAGAUAUGCGGAGGAACACCAAUGGCGAAGGCAAUCUCCUGGACCUGCACUGACGCUCAUGCACGAAAGCGUGGGGAGCAAACAGG
rnacentral:rRNA from 1 species